rnacentral:rRNA from 1 species
UACGUAGGGGGCAAGCGUUGUCCGGAAUCAUUGGGCGUAAAGAGCGUGUAGGCGGCCAGAAAAGUCCGCUGUGAAAACUCGAGGCUCAACUUCGAGCUGUCGGUGGAAACUUUCUGGCUAGAGUCCGGAAGAGGAGAAUGGAAUUCCUGGUGUAGCGGUGAAAUGCGCAGAUAUCAGGAGGAACACCAAUGGCGAAGGCAGCUCUCUGGGACGGUACUGACGCUGAGACGCGAAAGCGUGGGGAGCGAACAGG